UACGGAGGAUGCAAGCGUUAUCCGGAAUGAUGGGGCGUAAAGCGUCCGCAGGUGGCUGUGUAAGUCUGCUGUUAAAGAGUCUAGCUCAACUAGAUACAAGCAGUGGAAACUACACGGCUAGAGUACGUUCGGGGCAGAGGGAAUUCCUGGUGUAGCGGUGAAAUGCGUAGAGAUCAGGAAGAACACCGGUGGCGAAGGCGCUCUGCUAGGCCGUAACUGACACUGAGGGACGAAAGCUAGGGGAGCGAAUGGG
rnacentral:rRNA from 1 species